UGUGCGCGCGUCUUGCUACUACGGAGGAGAGAACAGUGGCGAGACCAGCUCUCAAACUCUCAAGACGACGUUGCCCUCGUUCAUCAGAUGCACGCCAUCCCUAAUGCACGCCAUCACAAAUGCAUGCGAUAAAUUGCACAGGGGCAAUAUGUAUUUCCUGUCGCCUCAUGCCACCGGCCCAGACACACUACUUUGCGCUUUUGGAAAUCCAAGACCCUGUCUGCCUCCUGCUGUGGGUCAUCAGGUUCAUGAAGAGAGUGAGCGAUCACAUGGUGUUCUUCAUGGAUAGUAAUAAAGGCAUGGUGGGGUAAGCAGAACCAAGGGAUGGGUACACCUGCCUGUUCUCUCUUUUUUUGCUAUCGGAAGAACCACUACUCACCGCCGAUGCUCCACCUUCAUUCUAUGGAUGUGAUUGAUGAGGGAUUGAUCACAACAAAACAAUGAAUGUUCAAUGCUCGGCUAUGUUUUAUUAGGUGUGCCAUUAAAAUAUUAAAUUGAGCAAACUUUUGUUAUUAAUAGUGAACACUGAACACAAACAGACAAUAGAAAAUAAAACAAUGUAUGAGUCAUAGAAAGUUUGCCUCGCAUUAAUGGAGCUGUUGGCCUGUUUGGCCCAGGCCUUGUGAUACUGUAGAUGCGUAUGAGUCAGACAGGACUGCUUUUCAGGGUAUCAUAGGUCUUCCAAGCUAACAUAGUGUGAUGACGAUCCUUGCCUAAGGCCUAGAAUGUGUUGGCUCACAUAACUAACACCAAGCAAUAGUCACAGACAAUUCAAGUUCAAGGCCUGUUCCAUUAGAUAGGCUUCAAGGUCAUUGUUGUCAAUAUGCCCAUUAGGUAAUGGAGGCUGUGAGGUAUAGCCCUGACAGACUUAUGGUAAGCUAACAUAGUGAGUAUAAUCAGGGUAAAUGUUAGGUCAUUAAAAAUACAUUUACCAAUGAGCUCAUCAAACCCAAAAGAAAGGAAGCGGUGGAAAACAGAAUUAUGCCUGGGUGGGAGACAGGGAGCCCAUGGAAGUACAUACUGUAUACAUUAUUUGCAUUUCUGAAAUGGCAUGUAAUAUAUUCCAACUUAAUUUCAGAGGAUUAGAAAUGAGCCUUGUCAUACUGCAGGCUCUAAGCCAGCUGUCUGGUGUGUAAAGACACUGAGCUCACAGUUAUGUAACUAGCUUAUUCACACAAUCCCAUGGGUGCAGUAGGGUGUUUAUCCUUUUGUCACAUUUUGAAAUAGAAACAUUGGCA